CGGAGGUUUACCCUGGUGUAGGUGUGCCGCAGCGGUCAGUUGAAGACUCCGCGAGUUUCUCUGUGAAUUUCCCACUACAGUCGUAGCGCACUCGGCGCUUGCUUGGAACUUUAUGGGGGUUUUUUCGCUGUAAAAAGAAGUUUUCUUCCCACACACAACGGACACUAAUGUUUUUGUCACUUUUUAUGGAAUCAAACUCAAAAUAAGAUGUGCGGUGGAGAGUGUUCUGUGUUCUGGCAUCAAUGUGUGCCACGGAAACUGCACUGUGGCAGAGAGGAAAGCUCUACAGAGGGUGGUGAAGGCUGCACAGAGAGUGGUCGGAGGCAACCUCCCAACCGUCACAGGACCUAUACACCUCCAGAUGCAGAAAGAGGGCCACCUGUAUCACGAAGGACCCCACUCACCCAGCACACACACUCUUUGUCCCACUCCCCUCAGGCAGGAGGCUGAGGAGCAUUAAAUGCAAAACAACCAGACUGAGAAACAGCUUCAUUCCAGAAGCUGUGACACUCCUCAAUACAUAAAUGGACAGGAACUGCUAUUGUAGCACCUUAAUCACUACUGACACUUACUGACAUUGUCACUUUAUCAAUGCUGGCAUCAUGCCCUUUGCUGCUAAAAGUAUUUAUUUAUGCCCAUAUUUAUACCUACACUCUAUACCCAUACUCCAUACUGGUACUCAGGUUGUUGUACUCUACUUAUUGCAUUAUUUAUCGUAUUUAUUUUAUUACUUGUUAUUCUGUUUGUCAAAACAAAAAAACUAUUGUUUAUUACUUUUUUUUUUUUUUUAAAUUCUGUAUCUUUAUUAUCUGUAUUAUUUUGUUUCUUUUUGCUCCGGGACCGUGUAUACCUAAUUUUCCACCUCAUGUUAACAUGUGAUGCGAAUGACAAUAAAGCUCCUUGAAUCCUAUAAUCAAAUUAGACUAGCACAUAUAGUACUCAAAACACCAUCUACUACUGUGUCUGAAUGUGUGGUAUUGCCAUCGUCAAUUCAGGCCUAAAGAGAUAUGUGUUUAAAAAAAAGACCACCUAAUUUAAAUGUAAUUAUUACAUGCUUGUUAAAAGCUAACUUACAAUAUAUAACAUUUCUAAUAUGCACAAUGACCAGAUAAAAAAUAUGGCAAUGUUUAUAUUUAACAUAGGC
ensembl:lncRNA